rnacentral:rRNA from 1 species
AUUGAACGCUGGCGGCAGGCCUAACACAUGCAAGUCGAGCGGAUGAAGGGAGCUUGCUCCUGGAUUCAGCGGCGGACGGGUGAGUAAUGCCUAGGAAUCUGCCUGGUAGUGGGGGAUAACGUCCGGAAACGGGCGCUGAUACCGCAUACGUCCUGAGGGAGAAAGUGGGGGAUCUUCGGACCUCACGCUAUCAGAUGAGCCUAGGUCGGAUUAGCUAGUUGGUGGGGUAAAGGCCUACCAAGGCGACGAUCCGUAACUGGUCUGAGAGGAUGAUCAGUCACACUGGAACUGAGACACGGUCCAGACUCCUACGGGAGGCAGCAGUGGGGAAUAUUGGACAAUGGGCGAAAGCCUGAUCCAGCCAUGCCGCGUGUGUGAAGAAGGUCUUCGGAUUGUAAAGCACUUUAAGUUGGGAGGAAGGGCAGUAAGUUAAUACCUUGCUGCUUUGACGUUACCAACAGAAUAAGCACCGGCUAACUUCGUG